UGAGUACGAGAUGCUACGGCAUCGAAGCAGUCUAUGUCAUACUUCCAAGAAAAGCUUGCACUGUCAUAAACAAAGAAUGCCUGUACCAUAACCGACACAGGUGGGUAGGUAGAGUAUACUAAGGGGCGCGAGAUAACUCUCUCUAAGGAACUCGGCAAAAUGACUCCGUAACUUCGGGAGAAGGAGUGCCUUAUUUCUAAGGUUGCAAUAACAAGAUCCAAGCAACUGUUUACCAAAAACACAGGUCUCCGCUAAGUCGUAAGACGAUGUAUGGGGGCUGACGCCUGCCCAGUGCCAGAAGGUUAAAGAAGUUGGUUAGCAUUAGCGAAGCUGAUAACUGAAGCCCUGGUGAACGGCGGCCGUAACGAUAACGGUCCUAAGGUAGCGAAAUUCCUUGUCGGGUAAGUUCCGACCCGCACGAAAGGCGUAAUGAUUUGGAUACUGUCUCGGAGAGGGGCUCGGUGAAAUAGACUUGUCUGUGAAGAUGCGGACUACCUGCACCUGGACAGAAAGACCCUAUGAAGCUUUACUGUAACUUGAGAUCGAAAUUGGACUUUAUUUGCGCAGUAUAGGUGGGAGGCGUUGAGAAUAAUCUUGCGGGAUUGUUGGAGCCAUCAGUGAGAUACCACUCUUGUAAUGUUAGAUUUCUAACUUUGUAUCAUUAUCUGGUCAAAGAACAGUUUCAGGCGGGCAGUUUGACUGGGGCGGUCGCCUCCCAAAGGGUAACGGAGGCGCACAAAGGUUUCCUCUGAACGGGUAGAAAUCGUAUCUAGAGUGUAAAGGCAUAAGGAAGCUUGACUGUGAGACCUACAAGUCGAGCAGGGACGAAAGUCGGUCUUAGUGAUCUGACGGUGCUGAGUGGAAAGGCCGUCACUCAACGGAUAAAAGUUACUCUAAGGAUAACAGGCUGAUCUCCCCCAAGAGUUCACAUCGACGGGGAGGUUUGGCACCUCGAUGUCGGCUCAUCGCAUCCUGGGGCGGUAGUCCGUCCCAAGGGUUGGGCUGUUCGCCCAUGAAAGCGGUACGCGAGCUGGGUUCAGAACGUCGUGAGACAGUUCGGUCCAUAUCCGGUGUAGGCGUUAGAAUAUUGAGAGGAGCCUUCUCUAGUACGAGAGGACCGAGAAGGACAUACCUCUGGUGUACCAGUUAUCGUGCCAACGGUAAACGCUGGGUAGCUAUGUAUGGAGUGGAUAACCGCUGAAAGCAUCUAAGUGGGAAGCCCACCUCAAGAUAAGUAUUCUC
rnacentral:rRNA from 1 species